rnacentral:piRNA from 1 species
UCCAAAGUUUUGCACGAUGCACAGCUCCAU